GGGGCUAUAGCUCAGUUGGGAGAGCGCUUGCAUGGCAUGCAAGAGGUCGUCGGUUCGAUCCCGUCUAGCUCCA
rnacentral:tRNA from 1 species